rnacentral:rRNA from 1 species
GUCCAGACUCCUACGGGAGGCAGCAGUGGGGAAUAUUGCACAAUGGGGGAAACCCUGAUGCAGCAACGCCGCGUGAGUGAAGAAGUAUUUCGGUAUGUAAAGCUCUAUCAGCAGGGAAGAAGAAGGACGGUACCUGACUAAGAAGCCCCGGCUAACUACGUGCCAGCAGCCGCGGUAAUACGUAGGGGGCGAGCGUUAUCCGGAUUUACUGGGUGUAAAGGGAGCGUAGACGGUUUUUCAAGUCUGAAGUGAAAGCCCGCGGCUCAACUGCGGAACGGCUUUGGAAACUGAGGGACUAGAGUGCUGGAGGGGCAGGCGGAAUUCCUGGUGUAGCGGUGAAAUGCGUAGAUAUCAGGAGGAACACCGGUGGCGAAGGCGGCUUACUGGACUGUAACUGACGUUGAGGCUCGAAAGCGUGGGGAGCAAACAGGAUUAGAUACCCGGGUAC